rnacentral:tRNA from 1 species
UCCCCAUUGGUCUAGUGGUCAUGAUUUCCGCUUGUCAUUUUUCAAAUGAAAUUUCAAGCGCGGGAGACCGGGGUUCGAUUCCCCGAUGAGGAG